GGACUUAGUCUAUGUUUAGUUCAGUAUCUUGCUUGUACUUAGAUUAUAUAUGUGUGUGACUCGUUAUGUAUCAGUGGAGAUCAUACUGUAUUUUCCACAUUUCUUGUAUACAGUAUAUAUUUUGAUGAACGUUGUAAUCUCUUAUCAUAUCAAUGAAAGCUAACUUUUAUAUUUUAUUCUUGUGAUCCAUUAACUUAGUAUUCGAUGAUGAUAAAAAGGGGGAGAAAAUAUAUAUAUGACAAAAAUAACAUAACAAUGGCACAAAAUGACUUUUUGGCACAAUAUAUAAAACACAAAAUGGCACAUAAAGUACUUAAUUAAUUCAAAAUGGCUCAGAUUCCUUUCAACAAAUAAAUAGGGGAAGGAUCCUUAUGUCGGAAAUAUUUAUAAAAGGGAGAAACUCUAAAUUAUGAUUUGAAUUGUUGAAUUAAUUUGACCAUGUUGUCUGAAUUCUUGAGAUUAUGAAUCAUAACUCCAUAUUUUCUUUAAGAUGUCAAAUUAUUGUGAAAUGAUACUAUGAUAAUAAGUUUAUUUUGAAUGAACUGAAAAAUAUUUUGCAUGCACUCAAAAAUUUUGUCAUCUUUAAAAAGGAAGAGAUUGUUGAUCCUAGAUUUGAUUUUGAUGAAUAACAAAAUUUUUGAGUAUAUAUUUGGUACUAAUAAAUUAUUUGAAUAUUUAAAGAGAAGUUUCAAAAAGCUAGGACCUUAUCUCAAUUAAGCUCAAUAAUUUUGAAUAGAAGAUUUAA
rnacentral:lncRNA from 1 species